UUGCUCAGGCAGCAGCUAUACUAAAAUUGGAGUCAUCAGAUAAGACUAGCAUGGUCCCAGCACAAGGAUAACACGCAGAUUCGUGAAGUCUUCCGUGUUUUU